GGCUCACUCAGUUCACCUGACGGGCUCACUCAGUUCACGGUUCAUGUGAUGGCUUACACCGGCUGGACUUAGUAUCCUGCUAGCUAGUUUCCUUGAUCGCCUCAUCCCACGCCGUGUGUAACACUAAGAGAAGAAAUUUCUUCAAGCGGAAUUCAAAGAGAAUGGAAGGCAGCUAUAAGUACGUACCUUGACAAUUGAUGGGACAAGAUGGAAAGAAUCUAUGACGGUAAUGAAGAAGAUUUGAAGGAUAUGACAAAAUCCACUAAGUUUUAGGUUUAACUGAGUGGUUGUUGACAAUCGCCCAGCCGUCGAAAAUGAUUUUCCAGUUGACUUACAUAGUCGUCCAGUGUUAGUACAUGAUCAUCCAACCCUGGUACAUGAUUGUCGUAUGACUUGCAUGAUCGUCCAGUACUCUGCAAGAUUUUCAAGUCGUGACGAUUAAAUGCAGCUCAAAAGUGGUGUUUUAUCGUGAAAGAAGAAAGUUCCUGAGUAAAACUGUUAGUUUUAAUGGCUAGAUUAAGAUUUUUCUGACGGUUGAAGUGUGUAAUCCAUUUUAAGACUUCUGUAAACAGUUCUCUGGUUAUAAGAAAGGGCAAUGGGAGAGGCGAGGAAAUGUUAAAAAUAUUUUGCAGUAACAACAAGCCAGGAGAAUAAUAUUAUUCUGCCAGAGAUUUAAGCGCAUGAGUUCAGGGUAACAUUAAUCAGGAUCGCAGCUAGAAUCUCA